UUACAAGAGGAAAAAUAAAAGCUUCACGUUUGUUAGCCAUAAAAAAUGAAAUUUUAACUUCUUCAAAAUUAAAAACUCAUUUUGAAGAGCAUCCAAGAGAGUUGAGAAUAUUGAAGCACACCAGGCCUAUUGAUAAAAAUAAUGUAGACAUUUCUUUGAAAAAUGUCCCUUCUUACUUGCGCCUUCAAAAAGAGGAUAUUACGAGAGAAAAAACUGUACUUGUUAACGAGCACGCACCUCAAAAACGUUACAGUUUUUGGAAUUUA